CCACACCUAAAAACAUCUUUCCACGUGAACCGUUUGUGACAUUGUUGGGCUUGUCUUUCUUUCGGGGAGGAUGAGCUAUCUGUAAACUUGUCAAACCCCUUUCUUUUUUUAUAAAACUGAAACAUACUGUGGGGACGAAAGUCUCUGCUUUAAACUAGAUAGCAACUUUCAGCAGUGGAUGUCUAGGCUCGCACAUCGAUGAAGAACGCUGCGAACUGCGAUACGUAAUGCGAAUUGCAGGAUUCAGUGAGUCAUCGAAAUUUUGAACGCAUAUUGCACUUUCGGGUUAUGCCUGGAAGUAUGUCUGUAUCAGUGUCCGUACACUAAACUUGCCUCCUUUCGCGUCGUGUAGUCGGCGCGUGUGGGAAUUGCAGCAGAUGUGAGGUGUCUUGUGGUCCUUCGCGGACAGCAAGUCCCUUGAAAGUCGGACGCGUAUCUUUGCGUGCGUUGGGUGCUGGUGGGCUGUGGGACGCGUCUGUUGACGAGUCUGGCGACCUUUGGCGCGUGCAUGCUUGGGCACUGUGUAUUGGCGGUAUGUUAGGCUGCGUUUCGUGCGCGGCUUUGGCAAUGCAGCUGAUGCGUGUGUUUGGGCGGCGUGUGUUGUAUGGGUGAACCGGAUGGUCGACGGGUUUGACUCGUGUUUCGUUAGUCUGUAGCCGGUGUUCUGUAUCGCGCGCGGAGUGUGUCACCAUUUGGGAAUCUGUGUGGUCUUUCGUAGUAUCACAUCUCAUUUGGACCUGAUAUCAGACAAG
rnacentral:rRNA from 1 species